rnacentral:rRNA from 1 species
GAUGAACGCUAGCGGCAGGCUUAACACAUGCAAGUCGAGGGGUAACAGGGAAGAGCUUGCUUUUCUGCUGACGACCGGCGCACGGGUGCGUAACGCGUAUAGAACCUACCUUUUACAGGGGAAUAGCCCAGAGAAAUUUGGAUUAAUGCCCCAUAGUAUUAUUGAAUGGCAUCAUUUAAUAAUUAAACAUUUAUGGGUAAAAGAUGGCUAUGCGUUCUAUUAGCUAGAUGGUAAGGUAACGGCUUACCAUGGCAACGAUAGAUAGGGGUCCUGAGAGGGAGAUCCCCCACACUGGUACUGAGACACGGACCAGACUCCUACGGGAGGCAGCAGUGAGGAAUAUUGGACAAUGGAGGCAACUCUGAUCCAGCCAUGCCGCGUGCAGGAAGACGGUCCUAUGGAUUGUAAACUGCUUUUAUAUAGGAAGAAACCUUUCCACGUGUGGAAAGCUGACGGUACUAUAAGAAUAAGCACCGGCUAACUCCGUGCCAGCAGCCGCGGUAAUACGGAGGGUGCAAGCGUUAUCCGGAAUCAUUGGGUUUAAAGGGUCCGUAGGCGGACUAAUAAGUCAGGGGUGAAAUCCAACAGCUUAACUGUUGAACUGCCUUUGAUACUGUUAGUCUUGAGUUAUAUGGAAGUAGAUAGAAUAUGUAGUGUAGCGGUGAAAUGCUUAGAGAUUACAUAGAAUACCGAUUGCGAAGGCAGUCUACUACGUAUAUACUGACGC